UUAUGAGCUUGAACCCAAUUGCAAUUGAAAUAAAUGGAUCGCCCCUCCCGGGGCUCCUUGCUUGAUUAGCUGUGUCUGUUUCUCCUUAUUCCUCAGCUGGAACGGACAGAAAUUUCUAUAACAGUUUUGGCGACCACAAAGGGACUUCUCCAGCUCGGAACCGCUCUGGGGCCCCUUCCUCGAGAAGGACCAGCGCGCGCUGAGGUGAGUUUACCUUGGGUUGUAUUGUCUUGGGAGUUGGCCCCAGGCAGGGACGAUAAGGAGGAUUCUGAGAGACGGAUCACAAGCAACGAGACAGAUCGCGUUGGAAGAGGCCUCAUCAGGAGACGGAGUGUUUAAUGGGUGAGAAGCCUGACGAAAGCCUGAGAGGGUGAAGGAA